GACGAACGCUGGCGGCGUGCCUAAUACAUGCAAGUCGAGCGCAGGAAACUGACGGAACUCUUCGGAGGGAAGGCAGUGGAAUGAGCGGCGGACGGGUGAGUAACACGUAAGGAACCUGCCUCAAGGAUUGGGAUAACUCCGAGAAAUCGGAGCUAAUACCGGAUAGUUCAUCGGACCGCAUGGUCCGUUGAUGAAAGGCGCUUCGGCGUCACCUUGAGAUGGCCUUGCGGUGCAUUAGCUAGUUGGUGGGGUAACGGCCCACCAAGGCGACGAUGCAUAGCCGACCUGAGAGGGUGAUCGGCCACACUGGGACUGAGACACGGCCCAGACUCCUACGGGAGGCAGCAGUAGGGAAUCUUCCACAAUGGACGAAAGUCUGAUGGAGCAACGCCGCGUGAGUGAUGAAGGUUUUCGGAUCGUAAAACUCUGUUGUAAGGGAAGAACACGUACGAGAGGGAAUGCUCGUACCUUGACGGUACCUUACGAGAAAGCCACGGCUAACUACGUGCCAGCCGCCGCAGUAA
rnacentral:rRNA from 1 species